AAGUGGUUCAUCCCAGAUCAUAAGGUGGCUCUGGGGCGUGCUGGCUGUCUACGUGGCCAUUUGGGCCCACUUGUCAGGUGCCAACGUGGAACUUUUUUGCAAAUAACCCCUGCGUCCUCGCGUCUUCUCCCUCGACCGCCGUUGUACCGUCCUCGUCUCACUGCUCCGCCUACUCGCCUGCUCCCCUUCCCUUGUUCUUGUCCCCUGUCGAGUCCCUCCCCUUCUCAUUUCUCUCCUCCACUUUCCUCUCCCUCUCCAUUCUCUCUUCUACCCGAAGCCCUCUUCCCUCUCUCGUUUCUCCUCCUCAAAAAGCUAUGCCACCGCCUAUGUUUCUUCCCAGCGAGCUCAAUCGCAUCACCACUCUAGCUCUCGGACGCCAUCAGCGUUGCGUUCAGGAGAGCCUCCUCGCCUUCCCGCACGUGCGGGCCUCCGCCUGGACGUCUCUGAAGCACCGAAGUCCGCGCGCGCCGCUUCUUCUCCAACUCCGACGUUGCUUCCGGUUUCAAGCAAAGCUUUGGAUCCCAGCAAGGGCCCAGGAGGCAGAAAAGGACGCAGCGCCUGCACAUGACAUGUCUACCCACGGACGAUAUUACAGAGAUUUGAUUAGCUUCGGACUUUAAUUGGGCGUCAGUUCCAGACUUCCAGCAGUCUGAGCCCCGGGCCGGGAGGUUUUCUCGUGUUCACGUGGAUCCUGGGCAUCGAACCAAAGGUAUUCCUCAUGCAAUGCUGCAUCACACAUUUUCAAUAAUGAGUUGACCUCGGAAUCUUCAUCAUUGUGUGGCGUGUCUACGACUCUGCUCCCUUGGUUGGUUGUUUCUUGGAGUGGGCGAUUGAAAUCGGCUAGAUGGCAGAGGAGCAGUCAGCUGACAAGUGACAUGGAUUACUCGAGCAGAAGAGAACCCAACGCAAGUUUGCAACGCCAGAUGGAUGAAACGCAUCAAGCGUGCUAAAUCUAGGAUGACAUAUUAGUAGCAGUAGAACAUUUGGUACCGUCGGACCGAUCCUUUUCCUGCCAUUUUUUACAGGAAAGGGUCGGCAUCUGACAUGCGUUACACAUGACAUGAAUACAGAAAUACUUCAGCAGAAAA